UAGUAACUGCGAGUGAAGCGGGAAAAGCUCAAAUUUUGAAUCUGGCGGUCUUGUUGGCCGUCCGAGUUGUAAUCUAGAGAAGCGUCUUCCGCGCUGGACCGUGUACAAGUCUCCUGGAAGGGAGCGUCAUAGAGGGUGAGAAUCCCGUCUUUGACACGGACNGCCAGUGCUAUGUGAUGCGCUCUCGACGAGUCGAGUUGUUUGGGAAUGCAGCUCAAAAUGGGUGGUAAAUUCCAUCUAAAGCUAAAUACAGGCGAGAGACCGAUAGCGAACAAGUACCGUGAGGGAAAGAUGAAAAGAACUUUGGAAAGAGAGUUAAACAGUACGUGAAAUUGCUGAAAGGGAAACGCUUGAUGUCAGUCGCGUCCGCCAGGGAUCAACCUUGCCUUAAUCCGCUGGGUGCAUUUCUUGGUCGGACGGGUCAGCAUCGGUUUCGAUCGUCGUAGAAUGUUCAAGGGAACGUGGCACCUCUAGGGGUGUGUUAUAGCCUUUGGUCGUAUGCGUCGGUGGGGACCGAGGAACUCGGCACGACCUUCGGGUCUCGUGUCUAGGAUGCUGGCAUAAUGGCCUUAAGCGACCCGUCUUGAAACACGGACCAAGGAGUCUAACAUGCCUGCGAGUGUUUGGGUGGUAAAACUCGAGCGCGCAAUGAAAGUGAAAGUCGAGAUCUCUGUCAU
rnacentral:rRNA from 1 species